CAGCCGCCGCGGUAAUACGUAGGGUCCGAGCGUUGUCCGGAAUUAUUGGGCGUAAAGAGCUCGUAGGCGGUCUGUCGCGUCUGCCGUGAAAUCCUCAGGCUCAACCUGAGGCGUGCGGUGGGUACGGGCAGGCUAGAGUGCGGUAGGGGAGAAUGGAACUCCUGGUGUAGCGGUGGAAUGCGCAGAUAUCAGGAAGAACACCGAUGGCGAAGGCAGUUCUCUGGGCCGUAACUGACGCUGAGGAGCGAAAGCGUGGGGAGCGAACAGGAUUAGAUAUCCCAGUAGUCCCUGUCUCUUAUAU
rnacentral:rRNA from 1 species